AUUGAACGCUGGCGGCAGGCUUAACACAUGCAAGUCGAGCGGAGAUGAGGUGCUUGCACCUUAUCUUAGCGGCGGACGGGUGAGUAAUGCUUAGGAAUCUGCCUAUUAGUGGGGGACAACAUUCCGAAAGGAAUGCUAAUACCGCAUACGUCCUACGGGAGAAAGCAGGGGAUCUUCGGACCUUGCGCUAAUAGAUGAGCCUAAGUCGGAUUAGCUAGUUGGUGGGGUAAAGGCCUACCAAGGCGACGAUCUGUAGCGGGUCUGAGAGGAUGAUCCGCCACACUGGGACGGAGACACGGCCCAGACUCCUACGGGAGGCAGCAGUGGGGAAUAUUGGACAAUGGGGGGGAACCCUGAUCCAGCCAUGCCGCGUGUGUGAAGAAGGCCUUAUGGUUGUAAAGCACUUUAAGCGAGGAGGAGGCUACUGAGACUAAUACUCUUGGAUAGUGGACGUUACUCGCAGAAUAAGCACCGGCUAACUCUGCGCCAGCCGCCGCCGUAAUAC
rnacentral:rRNA from 1 species